rfam:Brassica oleracea var. oleracea cultivar TO1000 chromosome C3, whole genome shotgun sequence
GGAAUAUAAUAACCCGUCUCUUAACUUUUAACUAAAAAAACUAAGAACCGGUUUUUAAAUUAUUUAAAAACCGUUUCUUAGUUUUUUUUAGUUAAAAGUUAAGAGACGGGUUCUUAUAUUCU